AAUGCUAAAGCUCAAGGCUGUUCAGAUAUAACAGGAGUGCUGGAAAUGAGGUACAAAAUGCUGGAAUUCAAAUUAACCAAUAAAUAUAUUUUAAUAUAUAUCAGCAGGACUCUAGAGGAUUCCAUUAAUGUUGAAAAAUAGAAAGGAUUUAGGUUAAUUUGGUAAGAAGGCAGGUCAGAACGUUUACAACAGUGGUAUAGAAUUGUAUAGAGAUGCAAAAUUUUUCAAGAGAGCAGAAUUUUUUCAAAAACGCUGACUCUAGCUGUCACAGCCCUGCCUUG
rnacentral:lncRNA from 1 species